rnacentral:rRNA from 1 species
UACGGAGGGUGCAAGCGUUAAUCGGAAUUAUUGGGCGUAAAGGGCGCGUAGGCGGCCUGUUAAGUCGAACGUGAAAUCCCCGGGCUCAACCCGGGAACUGCGUCCGAUACUGGCAGGCUUGAAUCCGGGAGAGGGAUGUGGAAUUCCAGGUGUAGCGGUGAAAUGCGUAGAUAUCUGGAGGAACACCGGUGGCGAAGGCGGCAUCCUGGACCGGUAUUGACGCUGAGGCGCGAAAGCCAGGGGAGCAAACGGG